rnacentral:rRNA from 1 species
AUACGGAGGGUGCAAGCGUUACUCGGAAUCACUGGGCGUAAAGCGCGCGCAGGCGGGCUGAUAAGUUGGAUGUGAAAGCCUACGGCUCAACCGUAGAACUGCAUCCAAAACUGUCAGUCUAGAGUCUGGGAGGGGAAGAUGGAAUUAGUUGUGUAGGGGUAAAAUCCGUAGAGAUAACUAGGAAUACCAAAAGCGAAGGCGAUCUUCUGGAACAGUACUGACGCUGAGGCGCGAAAGCGUGGGGAGCAAACAGGAUUAGAAACCCCUGUAGUCC